rnacentral:snoRNA from 1 species
GCUCGCGCAUAACUGGGGCCGCCAGCCCCCCUCUCCGGCGGCCUUUUUAAUAGCUAGC